GGCUUAGGAUGAACGCUAGCGACAGGCUAACACAUGCAAGUCGAGGGGCAGCAUAGAAGUAGCAAUACGUUGGUGGCGACCGGCGCACGGGUGAGUAACGCGUAUGCAACCUACCUAUCAGGACGGGGAAUAACCCGGCGAAAGUCGGACUAAUACCGCAUAAAACAGGGGCACCGCAUGGUGAUAUUUGUUAAAGAAAUUCGCUGAUAGAUGGGCAUGCGUUCCAUUAGGUAGUUGGUGAGGUAACGGCUCACCAAGCCGACGAUGGAUAGGGGAACUGAGAGGUUGGUCCCCCACACUGGUACUGAGGCACGGACCAGACUCCUACGGGAGGCAGCAGUGAGGAAUAUUGGUCAAUGGGCGGGAGCCUGAACCAGCCAAGUCCGCGUGAAGGAAGGAGGAUCUAUGGUUCGUAAACUUCUUUUGCAGGGGAAUAAAGUGCAGGACGUGUCCUGUUUUGUAUGUACCCUGAGAAUAAGGAUCGGCUAACUCCGUGCCAGCCGCGGC
rnacentral:rRNA from 1 species